rnacentral:rRNA from 1 species
AACGAACGCUGGCGGCAUGCCUAGCACAUGCAAGUCGAACGAUCCCUUCGGGGAUAGUGGCGCACGGGUGCGUAACGCGUGGGAACCUGCCCUUAGGUUCGGAAUAACUCAGAGAAAUUUGAGCUAAUACCGGAUAAUGUCUUCGGACCAAAGAUUUAUCGCCUUUGGAUGGGCCCGCGUUGGAUUAGCUAGUUGGUGGGGUAAAGGCCUACCAAGGCGACGAUCCAUAGCUGGUCUGAGAGGAUGAUCAGCCACACUGGGACUGAGACACGGCCCAGACUCCUACGGGAGGCAGCAGUGGGGAAUAUUGGACAAUGGGCGAAAGCCUGAUCCAGCAAUGCCGCGUGAGUGAUGAAGGCCUUAGGGUUGUAAAGCUCUUUUACCCGGGAUGAUAAUGACAGUACCGGGAGAAUAAGCCCCGGCUAACUCCGUG